rnacentral:rRNA from 1 species
UUCAUUUUGGGAAAUAAUAAAAUGUAUAAUCUGCUCAAUGAUUUUUUUUUUAAAUUGCUGUGGUAUUUUGACUAUACGAAGGUAUUGAAAUAAGAUUUUAAAUGAGUGCUAAGAGAAUGAUUAAACAAUUAAAAGCUUUCUUUAAUUAAAUAAUUGAAUUUAAUUUUUUAGUGCAAAAGCAAAAAUAAAAAUUAGGGACAAGAAGACCCUAUGAAUUUUUAUUAAAUUUUAUAUAAAGUUUUAUAAAAUUUAAUUUAAUUGGGGUGAUGGAAAAAGAAUAAAUAUCUUUUUUUUAAAGAAAAUUGGUUCCGUUUUUAGCGAUUAAAUGAAAAAAAUACUCUAGGGAUAACAGCGUAAUAAUUUUGGAUAGUUCAUAUAGAUAAAAUAGUUUGCGACCUCGAUGUUGGAUUAGGAUUCUUUUUUGGUGAAGAAGUUAAAAAAAGAAGUUUGUUCAACUUAUAAUUUCCUACAU